rnacentral:pre_miRNA from 1 species
UCUUCUGCAUAAGCAAAGGAAGUAGUUUCUUGAGAUGGAAUCUACUCCUGGUGAAGAUGCUGUUAA